rnacentral:tRNA from 1 species
CCCGUCUUAGCGUAAUGGUCAUCGCGUUUGGCUACGAACCAAAAGGUUGCAGGUUCGAGUCCUGCAGGGGGAG